rnacentral:rRNA from 1 species
UUGAUAGGCUAGGUGUAGAAGCAUGGUAACAUGUGAAGCUAACUGGUACUAAU